rnacentral:lncRNA from 1 species
GUCCUAUUUCAGUAGAACCUGGUGUCAGGUGUUAUCUGGUGGGAGGUUCACAUGACAUCUGCAGCGCUUUCUCUUUCUUUGAUGAAAACAACAUUGUGAUGUGUUCUGAUUUUAAUGUUUCACUGAUGUAUGAUUUUAUGGGUAUUUGGGAUUUUCUUUUUUUUGUGGUCAUUUUCUCAAACUCAAGGAUCUGUAUUUUUAAAAGAUGCUUGACAGCAGAAAACUCAGGCGGAAACCUUUACGGUUCCACUCAGCACAGUCUUGAAAUUAAAAUAAAACCAAUAAAGGAGACCUCCUGCACCAGAGAUGGGACUGUAGUGGUGUUGUUUUGAGUCCAUUCCAGCAGCAUCAAUUCCCCCUGGCAGCAUCUGAUGCCUAUUUCUCCACUUGUCUGCAGAGAAACCACUCCCACAGGGUCCCCCUGGCGGUGUUAUUGGAGUCCUCGGAGGUGUCGUUGCCAUCGGCCUCAUCGCCGGCGUGGCCGUCACCGUUUUCAUGGUCCAUCGGCGGCAGCAGAAGACACGCACUGAGACCGAUAAUGACCUGACCGACCUCCCACCUGCUCACAAGCCCGCCCCUCCCCCGCCCAAAAAGAAGAACAGCGACAUGAAGGGACACUUGACAUCCGACGACAUUCAGGUGGUUCAUCUCGACAAGGACGAGGAGAUGCAGAAGCUUCCUCUCCAGCCUCCUUAUUACGACAUGGCCCCCUCCGAGUCGACCCCCUUCACCGAUAAGCCGGACUCUGGAAGGCGUCCGGAGGAGCUGAAUCCGGCUGAAAUCAUGUGCUACCCACGCGUCUGUAACACGGAACCCUUCCCCGAGCCUCAGCCCGCUCCAGCCUACCCUCCCGUCACCUUCCUGCCUCAGAACCCCUAUCAGCAGCAUCCAACCAACGAGCCCACCUACUCCAACACAGGCUUCCCUGCCCCCGGCCCACGCGCACCAUUCUCGUUCCCCAAGGAGCAGUCGGUGUAAGACGCCCCUUAACUUUUAGCGAACGGCGCCAUGAUCGCUUCAUGGAAAACAAAAGCCCUGCUAAAGGAUUGCUGUUGAUUCUGUCUGUUUUUUAAGCUUCAAACAUCAUCUCAUGUGAACUUGCCCCCCCCCCCCCCCACCCUCUCCUCUCCCCAUGUAUUGUGGUCUGCUUGCUUCACUCUGUAGAUGCAUUUUCACCAAGCAGAGCAGUUCAGUCCAGUACGCAAUUCGUUUUUACGAGUCACAUGACAUCAAAGCAGUUACAUCAUCAAGUGCUGCUUAAUUGGGGAAAAAAGAGCCCAUCAGAAAUUGCGGGUCUCAUCAUGGUAGCUUUGACUUUAGACGGCAGAAAUGUAAAUAAUUGGGCAGCGUACAGAGCUGAACUGUGUGGAGAUGCAGUGUAUACGACCCAGCACAGUGUGUGAUGUUAGCGUACCCUCCUCCAACACACUUUCACCCCCUCACACACCCACUCCAUGUCUGAGUGCAUCCUCACCUUUAUAUUCUAUUUUUUAUUUGAAACCCUGUACAGAUUUGUCACUCAUGAGCUCGUUUCUUAUUUUUUUCCUUAUUUCACCCCACAGUGUUAGUGACCUUUUAAAGAAACGUGCUUCUUUUCAUUUGGUUUGUUUGUCUGUCAUUCUUAUGCUUGCCUCUUUGAAAUUAAUAUUCUAUACUGUAUGUGUGACUGGUGUGUAGUGGUGGGAAAAAAAGAGAAAACUUUUUGAUUUCUGAAACUAAUUAUAAUAAAAUAAUGACAUGGACCACCCCUUUAAUGACAGUUAAUGACAGGGUUGUUAUGUGCAGAUUUGAAUUGGCAGUCUCUCAUCUGAAUCCUUCAUUAAUUUUUCAUUAUGGCUUUGCUAUUAUGGCGAUUGACUGGAUAUUUCAGACUAUUUAAAAGCGAAUGUUCCUCAUUAGCUACAACAAAAAACAAAGGGCUUGAAAUUUGACAGUAACUAUUUCUUCUGUGUCUCCAAUUAUUAUUAUUAUUAUUAUUAUUAUUAUUAUUAUUAUUGGUCCAUAUACUCUCAUGCUGGUAUUUGUUUAAUCUACCUUGUCUGUUGGGAAUUAGAAGCGUAGUUUGGGGAUGUGCUAAUUAUUCCCAGUUUACAUUAUCAUUUCCCAUAUGCUGUAUUUUCCAUAUCCGUAUGCAAACACUGGGGUUCGUUUAGGCUAACUGUUGCAGAGUUAGGAAGCAGCAGGAGCUGCUGUUUAUGCAGAUGCACCAGGUGAAGACAAUCAUGCAUUGGGUUGUCCUAGAAAAAGAUUGGGAACAAAUAUUGUUUCUUGUUUUUUGGGUUGCCCAAUCAGAAAGGGAACUACUUGUUCAAGGGAAGUUCACAUAUUUAACAUAUUUAAAGAGUUUGGUUCAUCAUGACUGGUAGUAAUAUAUUGUCGGAUACACUGAGGAGAAAUGCCUGCUGCUGUAUUUUUUUAGGAAAUGCUCAGUUAUAUUUGAUAGCACUUGAUUUAUGUGCAGACUACAGUUUACACUCCGUCCUUUUCAGACCAUACAUAAGCUAACGUGCUUUACGAGCCAAUCUGAGCGUUCUGCCUCUGACACGCCAGCCCUGUCGAGACAGAACAGUCCAUUCAGCUAUGCUAAAGUUCACUCUUUUUUUUGCCAUGUCAGAUGUUGUUUUGUUUUUUUUUAAAAAGAGAGAUGAAGCAAAUUUUUGUGUUUGUGCUAAAUGUUAAAAUAAGAUGUUGAAGGUAAUUUAGUGUUUAAAUCUUAAUGGUGGUUAAUGGAAUCGAGUAAAACUUGUGAGACUUUCUCCCGUGCUCACCUUGUUGUCUUGCGAUGGCUAUAUGCGAUAUGUGUGCUAGCAUUUAGUUUAAGCAGUGAUGUCUGGUCACUGAAGGAGUUUGAGCCUUUUACUGUACCUGCUGUGUGGAAAAAACACUUAAAACACCGAGUCUACAUGUGACACUUUGACUAUUCAGAAAAACCCUCCAGUUAAUAUUAUUAUUAUUAUCAUCAUUAUUAUUUUUUAAUAUUAUUAAUAUUGGUUUCAAUGUAUGCUUAACUGCAUUGCAUGUAUGUUUUACAUAGUUUUUCAGUCACAUUUAAUUAUUUCAAAUGUCCUGAAGAUAACUGCCAUGUCUGUUUUCACCCAUGACCUUGUUUUAUUUUGUGUUUUGUACAUUAUAGGUUAUUAACAUUAGAGUUUUUGUUUUUUGUUUUUUUGGGGUUUUUUGGGUAAUAUGCUGUGAACGUUUAGGCCUGAAGCAUAUUUGGUCUGACACUACUUGUACAACUGUUAAAGGGUAAUAUCUGAUUAAAUCUUACAGAUUUCAGCUCUUUUUUUAAAAUAAUGGCAUGAUGUGAAAUGAUUCAUCCUGUUUUGUUUUAUUCCGUGUAAAUAUUAACAGUGUAUCUGAUGUGUGAAAAAAGGAAAUGCAGUCUAACAUUAAACAUUCACACACUACCCUGAAC